UACGUAGGGACCGAGCGUUGUCCGGAAUCAUUGGGCGUAAAGAGCGUGUAGGCGGCUAUUUAAGUCCUGCGUGAAAUCCUGCGGCUCAACCGCAGACGGUCGUGGGAAACUGGAUGGCUAGAGUGCGGGAGAGGAGAGUGGAAUUCCCGGUGUAGCGGUGAAAUGCGCAGAUAUCAGGAGGAACACCGGUGGCGAAGGCGGAUCUCUGGGCCUUACCUGACGCUCAGGUGCGAAAGCUAGGGGGAGCGAACAGG
rnacentral:rRNA from 1 species